rnacentral:rRNA from 1 species
UGGGGAAUAUUGGACAAUGGGGGGAACCCUGAUCCAGCCAUGCCGCGUGUGUGAAGAAGGCCUUAUGGUUGUAAAGCACUUUAAGCGAGGAGGAGGGUACUGGUAUUAAUACUACCAGGUACUGGACGUUACUCGCAGAAUAAGCACCGGCUAACUCUGUGCCAGCAGCCGCGGUAAUACAGAGGGUGCGAGCGUUAAUCGGAUUUACUGGGCGUAAAGCGCGCGUAGGCGGCUAAUUGAGUCGGAUGUGAAAUCCCCGAGCUUAACUUGGGAAUUGCAUUCGAUACUGGUUAGCUAGAGUGUGGGAGAGGAUGGUAGAAUUCCAGGUGUAGCGGUGAAAUGCGUAGAGAUCUGGAGGAAUACCGAUGGCGAAGGCAGCCAUCUGGCCUAACACUGACGCUGAGGUACGAAAGCAUGGGGAGCAAACAGG